rnacentral:rRNA from 1 species
CCUACGGGUGGCUGCAGUGAGGAAUAUUGGUCAAUGGGCGCGAGCCUGAACCAGCCAAGUCGCGUGAGGGAUGACGGCCCUACGGGUUGUAAACCUCUUUUGCCGGGGAGCAACGGGCGCCACGUGUGGCGCCACUGAGAGUACCCGGAGAAAAAGCAUCGGCUAACUCCGUGCCAGCAGCCGCGGUAAUACGGAGGAUGCGAGCGUUGUUCGGAAUAACUGGGCGUAAAGGAUGCGUGGGCGGUUAAACAAGUUAUAUGUUAAAUAUAUAGGCUUAACCUGUAGAAAGCAUAUAAAACUGUUUAACUAGAGUGCAGGAGAGGUAAGUGGAAUUCCUAGUGUAGCGGUGAAAUGCGUAGAGAUUAGGAAGAACACCAGUGGCGAAGGCGACUUACUGGACUGUAACUGACGCUGAGGCAUGAGAGCAUGGGGAGCAAACAGGAUUAGAUACCCGAGUAGUC